rnacentral:rRNA from 1 species
AUCAACUUUCGAUGGUAGGAUAGAGGCCUACCAUGGUGGUAACGGGUAACGGGGUGUUAGGGCACGACACCGGAGAGGGAGCCUGAGAAACGGCUACCACAUCCAAGGAUGGCAGCAGGCGCGCAAAUUACCCAAUCCCGACACGGGGAGGUAGUGACAAUAAAUAACAAUACGGGGUCCUUUGGGUCUCGUAAUUGGAAUGAGUACAAUUUAAAUCUCUUAACGAGGAACAAUUGGAGGGCAAGUCUGGUGCCAGCAGCCGCGGUAAUUCCAGCUCCAAUAGCGUAUAUUAAAGUUGUUGCAGUUAAAAAGCUCGUAGUUGAAUUUCGGGGUCGGUAGGUUGGUCAUGCCAUCGGUAUGCACUGGUCUCACCGAUUCCUCCCUCUUGUAGAAGCGUAAUGCCAUUAAGUUGGUGUUGCGGGGAAACAGGACUGUUACUUUGAAAAAAUUAGAGUGUUUAAAGCAGGCUAACGCUUGAAUACAUUAGCAUGGAAUAAUGAAAUAGGACGUUCGAACCUAUUUUGUUGGUUUCUAGGAUCAACGUAAUGAUUAAUAGGGAUAGUUGGGGGCAUUAGUAUUCAAUUGUCAGAGGUGAAAUUCUUGGAUUUAUUGAAGACUAACUACUGCGAAAGCAUUUGCCAAGGAUGUUUUCAUUAAUCAAGAACGAAAGUUAGGGGAUCGAAGACGAUCAGAUACCGUCGUAGUCUUAACCAUAAACUAUGCCGACUAGGGAUCGGAUGAUGUUAAUUUUUUUUAAUGACUCAUUCGGCGCCUUACGGGAAACCAAAGUGUUUGGGUUC